CCUACGGGUGGCUGCAGUGGGGAAUAUUGGACAAUGGGGGGAACCCUGAUCCAGCCAUGCCGCGUGUGUGAAGAAGGCCUUUUGGUUGUAAAGCACUUUAAGCGAGGAGGAGGCUACCGAGAUUAAUACUCUUGGAUAGUGGACGUUACUCGCAGAAUAAGCACCGGCUAACUCUGUGCCAGCAGCCGCGGUAAUACAGAGGGUGCAAGCGUUAAUCGGAUUUACUGGGCGUAAAGCGCGCGUAGGUGGCCAAUUAAGUCAAAUGUGAAAUCCCCGAGCUUAACUUGGGAAUUGCAUUCGAUACUGGUUGGCUAGAGUAUGGGAGAGGAUGGUAGAAUUCCAGGUGUAGCGGUGAAAUGCGUAGAGAUCUGGAGGAAUACCGAUGGCGAAGGCAGCCAUCUGGCCUAAUACUGACACUGAGGUGCGAAAGCAUGGGGAGCAAACAGGAUUAGAUACCCAAGUAGUC
rnacentral:rRNA from 1 species